rnacentral:rRNA from 1 species
UGAGUACGAGAUGCUACGGCAUCGAAGCAGUCUAUGUCAUACUUCCAAGAAAAGCUUGCACUGUCAUAAACAAAGAAUGCCUGUACCAUAACCGACACAGGUGGGUAGGUAGAGUAUACUAAGGGGCGCGAGAUAACUCUCUCUAAGGAACUCGGCAAAAUGACUCCGUAACUUCGGGAGAAGGAGUGCCUUAUUUCUAAGGUUGCAAUAACAAGAUCCAAGCAACUGUUUACCAAAAACACAGGUCUCCGCUAAGUCGUAAGACGAUGUAUGGGGGCUGACGCCUGCCCAGUGCCAGAAGGUUAAAGAAGUUGGUUAGCAUUAGCGAAGCUGAUAACUGAAGCCCUGGUGAACGGCGGCCGUAACUAUAACGGUCCUAAGGUAGCGAAAUUCCUUGUCGGGUAAGUUCCGACCCGCACGAAAGGCGUAAUGAUUUGGAUACUGUCUCGGAGAGGGGCUCGGUGAAAUAGACUUGUCUGUGAAGAUGCGGACUACCUGCACCUGGACAGAAAGACCCUAUGAAGCUUUACUGUAACUUGAGAUUGAAAUUGGACUUUAUUUGCGCAGUAUAGGUGGGAGGCGUUGAGAAUAAUCUUGCGGGAUUGUUGGAGCCAUCAGUGAGAUACCACUCUUGUAAUGUUAGAUUUCUAACUUUGUAUCAUUAUCUGGUCAAAGAACAGUUUCAGGCGGGCAGUUUGACUGGGGCGGUCGCCUCCCAAAGGGUAACGGAGGCGCACAAAGGUUUCCUCUGAACGGGUAGAAAUCGUAUCUAGAGUGUAAAGGCAUAAGGAAGCUUGACUGUGAGACCUACAAGUCGAGCAGGGACGAAAGUCGGUCUUAGUGAUCUGACGGUGCUGAGUGGAAAGGCCGUCACUCAACGGAUAAAGUUACUCUAGGAUAACAGGCUGAUCUCCCCCAAGAGUUCACAUCGACGGGGAGGUUUGGCACCUCGAUGUCGGCUCAUCGCAUCCUGGGGCGGUAGUCCGUCCCAAGGGUUGGGCUGUUCGCCCAUGAAAGCGGUACGCGAGCUGGGUUCAGAACGUCGUGAGACAGUUCGGUCCAUAUCCGGUGUAGGCGUUAGAAUAUUGAGAGGAGCCUUCUCUAGUACGAGAGGACCGAGAAGGACAUACCUCUGGUGUACCAGUUAUCGUGCCAACGGUAAACGCUGGGUAGCUAUGUAUGGAGUGGAUAACCGCUGAAAGCAUCUAAGUGGGAAGCCCACCUCAAGAUAAGUA